GACAGAGGGUGCAAACGUUGUUCGGAAUUACUGGGCGUAAAGCGUGUGUAGGCUGCCGUGUAAGUCGGAUGUGAAAGCCCAGGGCUCAACCCUGGAAGUGCACUCGAUACUGCAUGGCUUGAGUACCGGAGAGGUUGGUGGAAUUCUCGGUGUAGAGGUGAAAUUCGUAGAUAUCGAGAGGAACAUCUGUGGCGAAGGCGGCCAACUGGACGAGUACUGACGCUGAGACACGAAAGCGUGGGGAGCAAACAGG
rnacentral:rRNA from 1 species